rnacentral:rRNA from 1 species
AAAUAUUCCUGUACCGAUGUGUAGUGCGAUGUGGGGACGGAUCUUAAUAGGUCAUCCGGGUGUUGGAUAUCCCGGUUUAGUUGGAAGUAGGCGAUGGGUAGGCAAAUCCGCCCGUCAUAUACCGAGGCCAACGAUCGAGCCAGCUUGCUGGUGAAGUGACUGAACGAGGUUCCAGGAAAAGCCACUAAGCUUCAGCUAUACACGACCGUACCGCAAACCGACACUGGUGCGCGAGAUGAGUAUUCUAAGGCGCUUGAGAGAACUCAGGAGAAGGAACUCGGCAAAUUGACACCGUAACUUCGGAAGAAGGUGUGCCCUAUUAGUGUGAAGUGAACAACGGAGCAUGAAUGGGUUGCAAAAAAUCGGUGGCUGCGACUGUUUAUUAAAAACACAGCACUCUGCAAACACGAAAGUGGACGUAUAGGGUGUGACGCCUGCCCGGUGCUGGAAGAUUAAAUGAUGGGGUGCAAGCUCUUGAUUGAAGUCCCAGUAAACGGCGGCCGUAACUAUAACGGUCCUAAGGUAGCGAAAUUCCUUGUCGGGUAAGUUCCGACCUGCACGAAUGGCGUAACGAUGGCCACACUGUCUCCUCCUGAGACUCAGCGAAGUUGAAAUGUUUGUGAUGAUGCAAUCUCCCCGCGGAAAGACGGAAAGACCCCAUGAACCUUUACUGUAGCUUUGUAUUGGACUUUGAACAGAUCUGUGUAGGAUAGGUGGGAGGCUUUGAAACAGGGUCGCUAGAUCUUGUGGAGACAACGUUGAAAUACCACCCUGGUGUGUUUGAGGUUCUAACCUAGGUCCAUUAUCUGGAUCGGGGACAGUGCAUGGUAGGCAGUUUGACUGGGGCGGUCUCCUCCCAAAGCGUAACGGAGGAGUUCGAAGGUACGCUAGUUACGGUCGGACAUCGUGACGAUAGUGCAAUGCAUAAGCGUGCUUAACUGCGAGACUGACAAGUCGAGCAGAUGCGAAAGCAGGACAUAGUGAUCCGGUGGUUCUGUAUGGAAGGGCCAUCGCUCAACGGAUAAAAGGUACUCUGGGGAUAACAGGCUGAUACCGCCCAAGAGUUCAUAUCGACGGCGGUGUUUGGCACCUCGAUGUCGGCUCAUCUCAUCCUGGGGCUGUAGCCGGUCCCAAGGGUAUGGCUGUUCGCCAUUUAAAGAGGUACGUGAGCUGGGUUUAAAACGUCGUGAGACAGUUUGGUCCCUAUCUUCCGUGGGCGCUGCAGAUUUGAGGAAGCCUGCUCCUAGUACGAGAGGACCGGAGUGGACACACCUCUGGUGUAUCGGUUGUCACGCCAGUGGCAUUGCCGAGUAGCUAAGUGUGGAAGAGAUAACCGCUGAAGGCAUCUAAGCGGGAAACUCGUUUCAAGAUGAGAUCUGCCGGGGCCUUGAGCCCCCUGAAGAGUCGUUCAAGACCAGGACGUUGAUAGGUCAGGUGUGGAAGCGCAGUAAUGCGUUAAGCUAACUGAUACUGAUUGCUCGUGCGGCUUGACCCC